rnacentral:rRNA from 1 species
UACAGAGGGUGCAAGCGUUUGUUCGGAAUUAUUGGGCGUAAAGCGCGUGUAGGCGGCUUUGCAAGUCGGGUGUGAAAGCCCUCAGCUUAACUGAGGAAGUGCGCCCGAAACUGCAGAGCUUGAAUACCGGAGAGGAUGGCGGAAUUCCCCACGUAGAGGUGAAAUUCGUAGAUAUGGGGAGGAACACCGGUGGCGAAGGCGGCCAUCUGGACGGCUAUUGACGCUGAGACGCGAAAAGCGUGGGGGAGCAAACAGGG